UGCUCUUAACCCCUGAGCCAUCUCUCCAGGCUUUGAAGUGAAAAACUGGGCUAUAAGAAUGAUAAUAAUCACACAGUGUAAUAAAACCAAUUAAGCCAAAACGAUUGUUAAAGUCCAUACUUUGCCGUUCUUCCAGAAGACCCAGGUUCUAUUUCCAGCUCAUAACCAUCUGUAACUCCAGUCUAAGGGAAUCUGAAGCCUACUUUAGGCCUCCAUGGUACCAGGCCCACAUGUAGUAUAUGGAUAUAUGUAAAAGCAAAUCGCAAAUAUAUAGUAAUAUUUCGAUUAAGGUUUACUAAUUUUAUUCAUUAUCCCAGAAAGAACUAAAAUUAGCUCCAAAAUCCAGAGUGUUCCUUGUCCCCAACAGAUACACCAAGCUGCAGCCCUGAGUAAUAAAUGGGGUGUUUGGGAAACCAGCCCUGAAGUCUACACCACUCGCUGACUGAUCUUUCUCCCCAGAGUUCCCAUCACAACACCCCCAGCCCAUCCAAAAAACCAAAACGAACCUCUCCAUUCCUCACUCUUUCUUAGCUCUUUUCAGUAACCAACACAGGCAUCCUUUUGGUCAGGAAAACAACCCUGGCCUGGUCUGGCUUCUCCAAACUCAACGGCCAUCCAGAAGCUUUCCCUAUUUCUCUCUGUUAGCAAAAAGAAUUAAAGGAAGUUUCCAAAUGUGGCCAUGGACAGAUAGCUCUCAAAAGAAAUGCCUCACUUAAGAAAAUGGAGGGAAAUGUUCUGGUGUGCUAUUUAUUGAUUAUAGAUUAAGCCUCCGCUCCUUCCCUGCCUUACACCUCUUUAAGGGACAAAGGAUUUGAGAUGUCCCUCCAAUCAGAUUAAGAUUUCUCCCUGCCUGCCCAGGAUUCUGGUGAAGAAGUUGCUUCAUUGAAUUGUCACAGAAAGAAAGCAGCUGUCUCCCAGACAAUGAAGUUACUGGCGCUCAAGCCUUUCCAGUAGGCAGGGACAAAGCUGGCAGAAUUCAACCUGUUGCUAUAGUAGCAGGAAGAAUGUGAUUCUGGCAGCUCUGUGAGAUCAAGAUCCAAAUCCCUCCAGCUCCCAGAGAGAACAUUAACCCUUCCCUGCCCCUGUCCAGGGGCAGAAAUACUUGGGAAGAACCCUGCUUACCUCAGUGCUGGAUGCAGUCCUCUUGGCAUCCAAUCAUGCCAUCCACCCAAUGCCCAUUGAUUUACACGCCCUUAUGCAGGUCCUGUGCUUUCAUGGAAAGCAAGGCAGGCAUGGCCUUUGGCAUUAAGCAUGAAGGAGGAGGUGGAUAUUAAGUUAUUGCUAAAACCACAACACAUUAUGCAGUAUCAGUAAAGGCAUUACCAGAAAACAAUCUAUGUAAGAUAGUCAGAGUAUUCAUUAGUUAACAGUAGACUGUAUGUUCUGGGUGAGGGAAAUGACUUGAUAACUUGCCAGUGUUAAUUUGAAAAAACAACAACACUAGAAAUGUCUGCCCCAGUGCUCUCAUGCCUCCCACAAAUUAGUUUAAAUAAGCCAUUUAAUUAAAUCAAGCUUUUGAUUUAUAAGAGUAGCAAAAUUACAGUUAGGAAGUAACAACAAAAAAUAAUUUUAUGGUUGGGAGUCACCACAACACGAACUGUAAUAAAGUAUUGUAGCAUUAGGAAAGUUGGGAACCACUGUGUUAGAGAAUGAUGUCACACAAGUGCUGAACAUGAGGCCAUGGUCCCUCGUGUAUAGUUCCCGGCAGGCAACAGAAAUGCCAGAUAGUACUUAGAAAAUACACAAAGAAGCAGUGUCCAGGCUCUCUAAAACAGUUCCCACACCCCAGUUCAUUUCUGUGGUCAAGGUACCAAUGAAAAACCUUUGGAAAAUACACCUUAGAAAUGACCUAAGUCUAAUCCAGACUUCUUUCCUUACACUGAGAGUGGAAAUCUCAGGUUGUCGGACACGCCUCCUUGAUCAACUUCCUCAUUUCCCACGGAGCACAGACACAGGAAAUCGGAGUUUUCUCAGGAGGCUAAAAGCAAGUAGGUAGUGUUUAUCCCAUAAGCUAUCAGUGAAACAAGACAGCAGCAAUCAGACUGCUAAGCAAAAGAGCUGAGAAGAGAGGGGGUUGGGAGACUGCUUGCUGGGCGAGCAAAAGAAGAGGUUUAAUUUCAGUCAGAGGCCUUUUCUCAAAAAUGAAGGUGGCGACUGGGUGGAGUGGAACAAGCCAGCCCUUGGGAGGCUGAGGCAGAUCUCUGUGAGUUCAAUGUCCUUGGCAUCUCAGUUGUGCUGGGCUGCAAGGUAAAUCUGACCAGAGCACACUGAAGCAAAACCACGAAUGUCACAGGCAAAGCUUAUCAACUAGUGGCCUCAACUAAAAUCUUCGGGCCAAGGAUAUGAUCUAAUAGCCAGCUCCGGGAAGGUCACGAUGUAGCUUCAGCUGGCAUUGAAACACUGAUUUCCUACCUCAACAGGAGGCUCAGGCUACCGUUAGAGGAGGGAAGAUGAACUCCCAGGAUAGGACACUCAUCCACAACACCUGAGUUAGGAUCUGGGAGAAGAGCCCAAGAACCAGACUUGAUAGAAACUGGUCACUUUUUACCCUGAUGUAAUAAAUGACAAGGAAUGUCAUAGGACCUGGAGUAAUGAUGUCACCUGUUGCUACUCUCCUGGAGUUGGAGAAGAGACAGCCAACAGAGUGACCUGCAUGCUUAAGACGUGGAGGACAAGGUAUUAGCUGAGGCUGGACCAGGAACCGGAGGCAGCAGCUUUAUUCCUUUGAAUGCUACGGCUCGUUUUCAGAAUAACUGAAGCACAGCUAACAAUGCACUAUUUGAUCGCUCUGAAUGACUCUCACCCACAGCACUGGGCGAGAGGAGCCCUUGGCCAGAGCUGCACACCAGAAACCUGUUUCCCAGCCUCUUCCAUUAGCCCGCCGACCCUUUCCUCAGAGCCCUCAGCAUACUGUACAAAGAUCUCCGUUCUCUCCCUUAAAUAUCACGGGAAGCUCACAUCAAAACACCAGACCCUUUUCUUCCUGGAAUGCUGCCAAUUUAAUACUUUCAGGCUCACAUAAAUUUAAUUAAACUCACUUAUCUUUUAAGCUCCCCCAUCCCCCAAACCACCUCUUGUCACCUCUCCACAGUAAAACCUUUCAAAAUAGGACUUUCUCUUUGCUUUUCAGCCAAAAAUGUCAUGCAGGCUUUACUUUAAGGCUAUAGCCAUCAGAUGUGCGCUACAAUAAGUCAGUCAGUAGGACCCAUGCAUUAAAAUGCCCACAAGCCCUUGA
rnacentral:sRNA from 1 species